UUUUGUGAGUUUAGUAAAGAAUUAAAUAAUAAAAUUGGUAACUUAAAAAGUGGUAAAAUUUGAGUAGCAGUCUCGCCUAGAAUUAAAUAAAAGAUAAAAGAAAAAAAAAAGUUCAAGUGAAAGAAACUGCAGCUAUAAAAUAUAUGAUUAUCAAAUUAUAUAGUUCCAUAUCAAAAACGAUUGUGUAAAGAAACAAAAAUAUUUUUAAAAAAAAAUCAAGAAAAGUUGAACGAAUAUUCUCAUAUUGUUAUAUAUAAAUAUCUUCUAAUCAGAUAUAUGCUUAUAUAACAGAUUUUGGAACUUAUUGGGUCAAUCGAUAAGUGUUGGAGGUGGGAAAAUUUUACAAAACACUAAUUAGACCUAAAAUAUUUAAAAUGAAAAUUUGGUUUUUGGUUUCGUGAAAAAAAUAUAUCGAUGACAUCUUUAUGCAGAAAUCUUCAAUUGGUUCUUUAAUUUUAAUGAUACUUCGUCAAAUUAUAGUUUCAUAUAUGAAAGCAAUAUGUGGUAGAUGUACCGGUUGUGGACACUUUUAGAUUUAUGUUGGUAUUAUUAAAUUUCCUAAAAUUGCUAUUAGAUUAUAGGGACAUUUACAGAAUUCUAACAUAAGUUGGCAACACUGUAUUCACUUGCUUUUGAGAGAAAUUCUGGUGGAUUAAUUAAAAAUUACAUGCAACUGUCCAAUGAUGAAAAAAAAACAUUUUUCAAGGAUUUCUAAUAAACAUCGUGACAAUAUCAUUUGUAAUUAAAAUUAUUUCAAAUUAAAAGCAAUAUUUUGAUAAUUUUUUUUCGUUUGUAUGUAUAAAUAAAGGAUAAAUAUCUAUGUAAAAA